GACGAACGCUGGCGGCGUGCUUAACACAUGCCAGUCGAACGGAAAGGCCCUGCUUUUGUGGGGUGCUCGAGUGGCGAACGGGUGAGUAACACGUGAGUAACCUGCCCUUGACUUUGGGAUAACUUCAGGAAACUGGGGCUAAUACCGGAUAGGAGCUCCUGCUGCAUGGUGGGGGUUGGAAAGUUUCGGCGGUUGGGGAUGGACUCGCGGCUUAUCAGCUUGUUGGUGGGGUAGUGGCUUACCAAGGCUUUGACGGGUAGCCGGCCUGAGAGGGUGACCGGCCACAUUGGGACUGAGAUACGGCCCAGACUCCUACGGGAGGCAGCAGUGGGGAAUAUUGCACAAUGGGCGGAAGCCUGACGUAGCAACGCCGCGUGCGGGAUGACGGGCUUCGGGUUGUAAACCGCUGUCGCAUGUGACGAAGCGUGAGUGACGGUAAUGGGUAAAGAAGCACCGGCUAACUACGUG
rnacentral:rRNA from 1 species